AACCUUACCUACCCUUGACAUGUACGGAACUUGCCAGAGAUGGCUUGGUGCUCGNAAGAGAGCCGUAACACAGGUGCUGCAUGGCUGUCGUCAGCUCGUGUCGUGAGAUGUUGGGUUAAGUCCCGCAACGAGCGCAACCCUUGUCAUUAGUUGCUACAUUUAGUUGGGCACUCUAAUGAGACUGCCGGUGACAAACCGGAGGAAGGUGGGGAUGACGUCAAGUCCUCAUGGCCCUUAUGGGUAGGGCUACACACGUCAUACAAUGGCUGGUACAAAGGGUUGCCAACCCGCGAGGGGGAGCUAAUCCCAUAAAGCCAGUCGUAGUCCGGAUCGUAGUCUGCAACUCGACUGCGUGAAGUCGGAAUCGCUAGUAAUCGUGGAUCAGAAUGUCACGGUGAAUACGUUCCCGGGUCUUGUACACACCGCCCGUCNCNCCAUGGGAGCGGGCUCGCCAGAAGUAGUUAGCCUAACCGCAA
rnacentral:rRNA from 1 species